CCUACAGGUGGCUGCAGUGGGGAAUAUUGGACAAUGGGCGAAAGCCUGAUCCAGCCAUGCCGCGUGUGUGAAGAAGGCCUUCGGGUUGUAAAGCACUUUCAGUGGGGAAGAAAGCCUUGGGGCUAAUACCCUCGAGGAAGGACAUCACCCACAGAAGAAGCACCGGCUAACUCCGUGCCAGCAGCCGCGGUAAUACGGAGGGUGCGAGCGUUAAUCGGAAUUACUGGGCGUAAAGCGCGCGUAGGCGGUCUGAUAAGCCGGUUGUGAAAGCCCCGGGCUCAACCUGGGAACGGCAUCCGGAACUGUCAGGCUAGAGUGCAGGAGAGGAAGGUAGAAUUCCCGGUGUAGCGGUGAAAUGCGUAGAGAUCGGGAGGAAUACCAGUGGCGAAGGCGGCCUUCUGGACUGACACUGACGCUGAGGUGCGAAAGCGUGGGUAGCAAACAGGAUUAGAUACCCCUGUAGUC
rnacentral:rRNA from 1 species